GCUUUGCCUGCUAUCUCUUACCCAUGUCUUUUGAGUACCUUCGUUUCCUCGGCGGGUCCGCCCGCCGAUUGGACACAUUUAAACCCUUUGUAGUUGCAAUCAGCGUCUGAAAAACUUUAAUAGUUACAACUUUCAACAACGGAUCUCUUGGUUCUGGCAUCGAUGAAGAACGCAGCGAAAUGCGAUAAGUAGUGUGAAUUGCAGAAUUCAGUGAAUCAUCGAAUCUUUGAACGCACAUUGCGCCCCUUGGUAUUCCAUGGGGCAUGCCUGUUCGAGCGUCAUUUGUACCUUCAAGCUUUGCUUGGUGUUGGGUGUUUGUCUCGCCUCUGCGCGCAGACUCGCCUCAAAACAAUUGGCAGCCGGCGUAUUGAUUUCGGAGCGCAGUACAUCUCGCGCUUUGCACUCAUAACGACGACGUCCAAAAAGUACAUUUUUUACACUCUUGACCUCGGAUCAGGUAGGGAUACCCGCUGAACUUAAGCAUAUCAA
rnacentral:sRNA from 1 species